rnacentral:rRNA from 1 species
CCUACGGGUGGCAGCAGUGAGGAAUAUUGGUCAAUGGACGAGAGUCUGACCCAGCCAAGUAGCGUGAAGGAUGACUGCCCUCUGGUUUGUAAACUUCUUUUAUAUGGGAAUAAAAUGUUCCACGUGUGGGAUUUUGUAUGUACCAUAUGGAUACGGAUCGGCUAACUCCGUGCAAGCGGCCGCGGUAAUACGAAGGAACCGAGCGUUAUCCGGAUUUAUUGGGUUUAAAGGGAGCGUAGGUGGAUUGGUAAGUCAGUUGUGAAAGUUUGCGGCUCAACCGUAAAACUGCAGUUGUAACUGGCAGUCUAGAGUACAGUAGAGGAUAGCGGAAUACGUGGUGUAGCGGUGAAAUUCGUAGAUAUCACGAAGAACACCGAUUGCGAAGGCAGCUCACUGGACUUCAACUGACACUGAGGCUCGAAAGUGUGGGGAUCAAACAGGAUUAGAUACCCCAGUAGUC